rnacentral:rRNA from 1 species
AUUGAACGCUGGCGGCAGGCUUAACACAUGCAAGUCGAUCGAGCGGCGGACGGGUGAGUAUUGUCUGGGAAACUGCCUGAUGGAGGGGGAAAACUACUGGAAACGGUAGCUAAUACCGCAUACCAUCAGAUGUGCCCAGUUGGGAUUAGCUAGUAGGUGGGGUAAUGGCUCACCUAGGCGAAGAUCCCUAGCUGGUCUGAGAGGAUGACCAGACACACUGGGACGGAGACACGGUCCAGACUCCUACGGUAGGCAGCAGGGGGGAAUAGUGCACAAUGGGCGCAAGCCUGAUGAAGCCAUGGCGGGUGAGUGAAGAAGGCCUUCGGGUUGUAAAGCACUUUCAGCGAGGAGGCGUUACUCGCAGAAGAAGCACCGGCUAACUCCGUGCCAGCAGCCGCGGUAAUUC